UACAGAGGUCUCAAGCGUUAAGCGGAUUCACUGGGCUUAAAGCGUGCGUAGGCGGGUUCGUAAGUGCCUUGUGAAAUCCCACGGCUCAACCGUGGAAUUGCUCGGUAGACUACGAAUCUUGAGGUCGGUAGGGGUCGCCGGAACUCUAGGUGGAGCGGUGAAAUGCGUAGAUAUCUAGAGGAACGCCAAAGGUGAAGACAGGCGACUGGGCCGAUUCUGACGCUGAGGCACGAAAGCGUGGGGAG
rnacentral:rRNA from 1 species